AAAAUAGACUCUUUCGCUAAAAAAGGCGCUAACCACUAACGCCGUCGCGUAUGCUUAUCGUUGUUCUCGUCGUUCGUUCGUUUCGUGGAGGAGCUAAGCGAAACCCUAAUUUAGUAACAGGGACAGUGUAGUGAGGAGCGACAGAGAUAGGUUCGAGAAUGACAAUCAAACCUUUGGAGUCGCUACCUCCUACAGAAUCCUUAGAAAUGGAGAGUGGUCUGAAGCUUGUACAGCGUCUCAAAUUCAAUUUCACAGUCUAUCCUUCAACCCCUUCAGUGACUAAAUCUCUUGAUGAGUGGAAGUUGAAGCGAGCUCUCAUUGACUUUCUCAAGUCUUCUCUUUCAGUUCCGGUCAUAGUCCCUGAGGAGGAUUUGGUGAUCAAACGUAUUAAACAGCUUAAGACACGGAAGUCUGGAGACCCACUUGCUCGCGGUACUCUCUUCGUGCGAGAUCUUGCCUUUAUGAAGACUGCUAACAAGAGAUAUGAGGAAGAAGAAGAGGAAGUCUCUGCAUUGGAGAAGAAGUUUUUGGAUUGGAGGCGACUUCUGGUUGAGAAAUUGGAUGGGAUUGAGCUGAAUCUUGAGGGUUUCAAAUUCAAACUCAUUGUUGUUAUACCGGAAUCUGAUAAUUUUGAGGAAAUGAAGAAAAAUUGGGAGGAGUUUUACGCAUUUGGGAAUCAGGGAUAUUCGAGAAGUGGAAGCCAAGGACCUGAUACCAUUACCUUGAGAGGAGCACCAUCAAGGUGGUUUGCCGAACCUUGGGUUUCGUCUAAGCCAUCUAUGUUGGUCACACAUACCAUUUUUUCUACAUUUGGAAGCAUAAGGAAUCUAAAUAUCGCCGUGGACGAUGAUUUUGGCAAGGAUGGCAAUGAGGAUGGAGAAGACAUAAUUUCAGGUUUACACUGUAAAAUAACAGUUCAGUUUGAGAAACACAGGGAUUUCUAUAAUGCUCUAAAGGUGCUGUCUGGUCGUUCAUUGCAGAAGGUAGCCAUAAAAUUGAAAUGUCACCAAUGUAAAAGGACAAAUCACAACUCACCCACGCAAGGAUCUCGUCUCUGGGCUGAUUACGAGGUCACCUGGGACAAGGAUGGUUUUACCCAAUACUCAAGAAAUCAAACAUCAGUUAAUGGCAGCAGAAUGCAGGAAAUGGCUGCAGGGCAAUUUAAAAAUGAGGCCUUAAGACGACAAAGAUAUUCAGGCUCCAUUCCUGAUGAUUCACGGCGCAAGAGGUUCAAGGAAUAGGAGAAAUUGACUCGGCAUGAUGCCUCAGUGAAAGCUUGAAGCUUGCUUCCGGCAUUAUUUGCAGCUCCUUUUAUAAGCGCAAAUAGUCUUCUGCAAAUUGUGACGACCAUCCUUCUGUUCCUCACGCAAAAUUCUACAACUUGAUGCCUCCUCCUUAUAUUGCUGGAUGCUGUAUUGCAUCAUCUAUGUCCUAAUAUGUUUUUUGCUCUCCCACAGGCCCACAUAUAUAAUCUAUUGGCCUCUGAAAGUUUUGUAUAAAUGCUUAAGAAACCGGCUGGAGCUAACAUAUUUAUCAGAGAGGAGGUAAUGUUAUGAUAUGAUACGUCAAUUAUAAUUAAUAGAUCGUUAUGAUAAAAUGCAACUGGACAACAACUAUGACUUAAGUGGGUUGCCAUAGGAGGCAAAAAAGUAAACCGUGGUUAGUUCGGAUUAUGUGAAGGUGGCUACUCAAUAUACUUAAUAUCCUUAGUUCUUGACUUACACUAUUGUGGAAUCAAGCAGUUGCCUUAAUAUGAGUUGAAAUGAAGAUGAACUA